UGUGCACGCCCGAGCCAUCCCCCCCAACAAACACCGUGGGCCUUCGGGCCCGCGUAUAUUUACUCUGAAUGUGUAUAGAAUGUAAACCAUUUGUUUGCCCUGAAAAAGCAAACGAAAAAAAUACAACUUUCAACAACGGAUCUCUUGGCUCUCGCAUCGAUGAAGAACGCAGCGAAAUGCGAUAAGUAAUGUGAAUUGCAGAUUUUCAGUGAAUCAUCGAAUCUUUGAACGCACCUUGCGCCCCUUGGUAUUCCGAGGGGCAUGCCUGUUUGAGUGUCAUUAAAUCCUCAACCGCGCCGAUUGAUUUCGGUGGGGCUUGGACUUUGGAGCGUGCUGGCGAAGGUCGGCUCCUCUUUAAAUGCAUCAGCGGAAGAAACCUUUGUCUUUCCUGCCUUCGGUGUGAUAAUUGUGUUGCGCCGCGGUGGAACUUCAACGAUCCGCUUACAACGGUCUUCGGACGAAACCUCA
rnacentral:rRNA from 1 species